CCCUAUUAUGAAUUUAGUAGAAGGUACUAGUAAUAUAUGAAACUAAAUAAUUUUGGCGGUUGAUUUUUAAUUUAGAGGAGCUUAUUAUUUAAUUAGUAUAAGAAUCAACUCUAUAAAUCUAAGUAUAAAUUUGAGUUUAUUCAUCUCCGUUAUUAAGUUAGUUAACUGAAAAUUAAUUUGUUAAUUAUAAUAUUUCAGGUCAAGAUGUAGCUUUUUUAUAAAAAAUAUUAGCUAUAAUUUAAAUAUAAUUGAAUUUUAAAUUGUACUUUUUUCUUAAAUUGAAUUUAGUUGUAAUAAGAACUAUAAAGUUUUUAUGAAGAAAUAAAAAUCAAUGUA
rnacentral:rRNA from 1 species